GCCAAAUAGCUAGCCUUAACACCAAAGCUAAUCAAACAAUAUACAUAACAAAGAAUGACCCAACAAAGCAAAUUAAACCAUUUUCCCUAUCUUAGUAUGGGAGACAAAAAAGAUUCAAAAAGAGCAAUAGAAAAAGUACCGCAAGGGAAAGCUGAAAGAGAAGUGAAAUAACCCGUAUAAGCACAACAAACCAAGGAUUAAAUCCGUACUU
rnacentral:rRNA from 1 species